GGGGAUAUAGCUCAGGUGGUAGAGUGCUUGCCUGUCAUGUACAAGGCCCUGGGUUCAAUCCCAAGCAUCACCA
rnacentral:tRNA from 1 species